rnacentral:rRNA from 1 species
CUACGGAGGGUGCAAGCGUUGUUCGGAAUCACUGGGCGUAAAGGGCGCGCAGGCGGUUUGGUAAGUCAGAUGUGAAAGCCCACGGCUCAACCGUGGAAGUGCAUUUGAAACUGCCAGACUUGAGUACCAGAGGGGAAAGUGGAAUUCCCGGUGUAGAGGUGAAAUUCGUAGAUAUCGGGAGGAAUUCCGGUGGUGAAGGCGACUUUCUGGCUGGAUACUGACGCUGAGGCGCGAAAGCGUGGGGAGCAAACAGGAUUAGAUACCCUAGUAGUCC